rnacentral:rRNA from 1 species
AUUGAACGCUGGCGGCAGGCCUAACACAUGCAAGUCGAGCGACCGGCGGACGGGUGAGUUAUGUAUGGGGACCGCUCGAUGGAGGGGGAUAACUACUGGAAUCGGUGGCUAAUACCGCGUCUUGUCGGAUAACCCAUAUGGGAUUAGCUAGUAGGUAAGGUAAUGGCUUACCUAGGCGACGAUCCCUAGCUGGUCUGAGAGGAUGACCAGCCACACUGGGACUGAGACACGGCCCAGACUCCUACGGAGGCAGCAGUGGGGAAUAUUGCACAAUGGGCGCAAGCCUGAUGCAGCCAUGCCGCGUGUAUGAAGAAGGCCCUAGGGUUGUAAAGUACUUUCAGUCGGGAGGCGUUACCGACAGAAGAAGCACCGGCUAACUCCGUGCCAGCAGCCGCGGUAAUAC